rnacentral:rRNA from 1 species
AUUGAACGCUGGCGGCAUGCUUUACACAUGCAAGUCGAACGGUAACAGGCCUUCGGGUGCUGACGAGUGGCGGACGGGUGAGUAAUGCAUCGGAACGUGCCCAGAGGUGGGGGAUAACGCAGCGAAAGCUGUGCUAAUACCGCAUGUGAUCUGAGGAUGAAAGCGGGGGACCAGGCAGCAAUGUUUGGCCUCGCGCCUUUGGAGCGGCCGAUGUCAGAUUAGGUAGUUGGUGGGGUAAAGGCCUACCAAGCCGACGAUCUGUAGCUGGUCUGAGAGGACGACCAGCCACACUGGGCCUGAGACACGGCCCAGACUCCUACGGGAGGCAGCAGUGGGGAAUCUUGGACAAUGGGCGCAAGCCUGAUCCAGCAAUGCCGCGUGCGGGAAGAAGGCCUUCGGGUUGUAAACCGCUUUUGUACGGAACGAAAAGGCUCUGGCUAAUACCUGGGGCUGAUGACGGUACCGUAAGAAUAAGCACCGGCUAACUACGUG